rnacentral:rRNA from 1 species
CGGUUCCUACGGGGCGCAGCAGUGGGGAAUAUUGGGCAAUGGGCGCAAGCCUGACCCAGCAACGCCGCGUGAAGGAAGAAGGCUUUCGGGUUGUAAACUUCUUUUAAGAGGGAAGAGUAGAAGACGGUACCUCUUGAAGAAGCCCCGGCUAACUACGUGCCAGCAGCCGCGGUAAUACGUAGGGGGCAAGCGUUAUCCGGAUUUACUGGGUGUAAAGGGAGCGUAGACGGAUGGAUACGUCUGAAGUGAAAGCCCGCGGCUCAACUGCGGGACUGCUUUGGAAACUGUGCAUCUUGAGUACGGGG